UAGGACUUAUAAAAAAUUUAUGAAUGUAAAACUAUUAAUAAUUCUUCUGAAUAGAGUAAUACAUAAACAACACAUAUUUUGUGAAUUUACUCAAAAUUGUCCAAAAUAUGCUCUGUGGGUCUAGGCAGAAACAAACUUCUCUAUUACUUUCACUGAAAUCCCGAUGAAUAUGCAAUAAUGCUAGUAACUGUCGUUGUUCAUUGUUGAUCGUACAUUUGUUUUCAACAUAUACGUACUUACACUGAUAGAUCUCCAUGGCAGCACUCGUGAUAUGUUAUUAACCAGCGUACGUGUUCGUCAUCGACUCGCGACCUCCCAAUUGAAUUCGUCAAAAUUACAUGCCAGUGUCAAUGAAAGUAUCCUAGGACAUGUCCUAAGAUAGGUCUUAGGACAUUAUUUAGGAUGGUCUUAGGACGUGUCUGAGACAUGUCUUAGGAUGUAAAACAAAGCUGUCUUAGGACAGUCCUAACUAUGAUGGUCCUAGGACCAUCCUAACACAUUUAUUUAAUUGAAAAUAUAUGUAGAGAUUUGUA
rnacentral:lncRNA from 1 species